ensembl:lncRNA
GACAAGAGAGUGUAAAAGUGCACAUUGAGAAGAUGGAAUGAUUUGGAUGCUGUUGAAAUGCCAGAAUCUUUGCUUACAGUAUUUGCUUCCAGAAGAUGAUUGCAGGCAUAUUCAGACCUCUAAAUUCUGCCAAAAUGUGAGAGUUCUCAAAAAUGACUUUAAGCUGACUUUGCCCUUAUUUCACUGCACAUGUGUCAUGUCAGCAGAUCUUAGAAGCAACUAAUCAUGUGACCUAAAGUACUUAUUUGUAAUUAGGUGUCAAAAAUAAAAUGGUAACAGCACUCUAAUUCCAGUGGGUCUGUCUACCUGAAAUGCAAAUCUCUCUCCAUUUGAGUAAUUAAGCUAUGAAAUUUAGAGUGCUCAAAGCCUUUGAUGUUUUGAAGUAAUUAGCAAUAUGGAGAAAGAUACUGCUUUCCGCAAGUACCAACAGCUGAUUUGCAAUAAAACCAAUGUGUUUGGCUUUCUGUUAUUAACUAAGUUGUAUUAUUCAUUAUUUACCAGUAUUUUGCCAGCUGCCAGGCAUUUGUAAAAAUGUUUGUAUAGCCCAAAUGCACCCAUAGAUGAGCACAAACUGUUCCAGCCAUUAAUUACUGUUUAUGUGACUGUAGCUUGUAGGAAUUGAUCCUCAUCAUGCAACAGAGCCCUGGUGUGCAAGAAGCUGUACAAACAAAUCCCAAACUGCUUCAGAUUUGAUAACAGGCAGUGCUGGAAAAUGAUCAAAGAAGCCCUUGAAAGUCCUGGCUAAACGCAGUGUUACAAGUAACUUCUAGACAUCAGUGAACCACAAAUGAAGUUUCCCUAGUUGUCUGCUUUCCUCUUCUCCUGAUCUGUCAUUGCUGUAACAGCCUUCUCAUCAGCUCUUUGGUUGCCUUCUAUGUACAUGCUGAAGAUACUCAGAAGGCUCUCAGUGGAAGAACACUUAAUUGCCAUCGUCCAAGCCACUGACAUCAUUUAAAAUGGUGACCUCCACAGCACUGACGGCUUCUGCCUGGGCUUGAAACACUAGUUUUGAUACAAAGACCCUUAUAGUUAAACGACACACCAUAAAAGAAGGUAUAGCAAGAUCUUCUUGGAAAAAUACGCCAUCGCAAUGGCAGAAGUCAAAACCCUUCACCACUGCUAUUCAUCUACAAAUGGAAAUCAUGCAGCCUCCCUGAAAUAAAGACCUAUUAAGAAAUCAUCAUUCAUCACUAGCCCUCAUCAACCCAGGCGGCUGAUAAUCGAGGUUCUCUCUAACCUCUGUGUCAAAGUAUAAUUACUUGGAAGGUUCUGAACUGAGAUAGUGUCUUUCUCUUCAAAUAUUCUAACAAAAUGGCAAUUUAAAAUGGGCUUGGACAUGGAAAUAGCUCCAGGCACCACAAUGCUGACCUCUCCGUUGGCACAGGGAGUGAAUGAAUGAGUGCACUCAUACUUCUGAAAAUAAAAUAUUAGCAUUCUCCAAGCAUCAAAAUAGCACGGCUACAGGAACAAGCAGGAAAGCCCCCAAGAAGCUCAGGGGCCUUUUGCUGAGGGCCCUCACCAAGCUAUGCUGAGGACGCCCUGGCCUCACUAGACCCCAGAGCAGUGGCACUCCUCAUAAGGAUGCUGCAUAGGCAAACUCACACUACUGCCUGUAGCUGGUUCCUCUUAGGACGUAACAGCAAAGAAAGCCUCUACUUGUACACCUUAUUUGAUAACGAAGAAUGUUGCCUAUGCUUUCCCCAAAUUAUUAUGACAGUAAUGUGAAGAUUUAAGCAUUCCUACUAUACCUCUGUAGCUGCUUCUCAGCAUGAAAUGCCAGAGCAGAGACUCAACACCACAGAAGACUGCACAAAUAAUAACAAAAAAAUAUAUAGAUUCAGCUGGGUUGCACUUCUGUAUAGACACUGCAGUUUACUCCCUCUCAGUGUCUGGAGAUGCGAUUAAGAUGACAAAGAGGAUCAAGAGGAAGGUCACUAGCUACUGUCAUCUCUCACUCAGAAAACACACAAACACAAAAUGUGUGAGAGUAGAAGUCAUUAGGCUUGUAGCAGAACUACAGCUGUGGGUGAGAGAAGGGAGAGCAGCCUUUAGAAAAGAGGUAGUAUGUGUAUAAUACUGCUUUCCCUCCAGGCACCUGAACUUCAUGAAGUACAAAGCUACCAACACUGACCGAGGAGUAGCUGAAAGGGGCCCUUGGUAAAAAGCACCUGUAUUUUUGAAGUCAAGACCUUGUAUCACAUUUUCAGACAACUAAAUCUCCAUGUAAUGCUCAUGAAACGCGUAUCUACACAGGGUAUCUUGCAGUUCAAGGCAUUAAUAAACCCACAGCAAGCUGCCAUCUGGGAAAAACUGUGUUUUGCGAACCUGUGCAGGAGGACACAAAGGAAAUGUGCAGUACAUAUUUUCAGAGUUCUAAUUUCUAACUCUGGUCAAGAGUGCUCUCAGUUAUGAACAGAUAAGAUUUUUACUCAAACUUUAAAAAAGACUAAAAAGUAAUUAUCUGUAUUCUGCUGUAGGUAAAUCCAUACUACCUACAUAAAUACCUACAGCUUCUUAUGCAACUAAUAUGCAAAGUAAUUUAGCAUCGCUGAAAUUUUCGAGACUUCCUGUGCACUCACAUUGAGUAAGGAACGUAAGAGUAUAUUUUAACACAUUCCUCACGUACGCAACAAUACAUCAAUGUGACAGUCUCACCCAUUCAUAUACACAUUUAUCCGUAUGCUUCUAAAGUAAGCAUUCUAAAGUAAGCACUGACAUUCUAGAGAAAAAAAUUCAAGAUUUGUAUCUUUAUAUUUUUGACACCCACCUGCUAUGUGUUACAGUGUUUUAUUAAGUUUACAUUAAAACAAAACUAUUUGCAAUCUGACACUAAAAAAAAUCAGUUUUUGUACUGAUGAGACUCACAGGACUGCAAUGAAACAUACAACAGAAGGGAAAUCAAUUGAUAAAUUAUUGUAUUCAGGACCUCACAUAAAGAGAAAUUCUCUAGGAGAAAAUAAUGUGGUUGACUUUUUCAAGCUCCACUUAACUUAACCCUUAUUUACAGUAGCAUCCUGAAAAAUGAAUGCUACUGUAUUUCAGAAACCAACUGGUUUUCCAACCACCUUAGAAAAGGUAAAAAAAUAUAUAUACAUUUCAAUUUACAAGCCGGUAUUCUUGAAAGCAUCAAUCUUGAUGAAUCCUUUGCUCUGCUAAGCAUGCUGUAUCUGAACAAUAAUAGUUCAUCAACAGAAGAGUGACUGAUAUAAAUAAGAGAGAAAAAAAUAUGCCUUGAAAGAACUUCUCUUCAUCUCGUAUCUGUAAGAAUUGCAUGAUAAAGGACUGGAUAGAAUUUAGCAAUAAAAGCAAGAGUUACAGAGAGUACUUGCUUCUCAAAAGCAGACACCAGCUACCACUUCAACCUGAAGGUGCCUAUGCCCUCCCUAACCUUGAAUCCCCUAAGCUCUGAGGCUUACACCUGUGUACAUCUGGUGCUGCCACUCUCCUCAAUCAGAACAGUGAAUCCUGCUCAGUUUCUCAUUACCAAAAGGAAAAAAAAAAAAAAAAAAAGAAUUGUAUUGAUUUUUCUCAGGCUGUGGAUCCCAGCUAGACAAGAUGUCUCUUAGCAAUCUUGGCUAAAGGUCUACCUCUACCACUGAAGAGGCUUUUCUUCAUUCCUUCCCUAGCAGCUCUCCCUGCUUUUUCCGUUCCUCUAUCUUGAAUUCCCUUUGUGACUGGAGAAAAUAUAGGGACAAAGGUGGAAUCCAUUAUUAAUUCAACUUAGGUAAUAAAUCACGUUAUCACAAUUAAACAGUGAGAAUAUGCUGGGGCAGAAAGGCAGCACAGUCCUAUUCUAAAUAAAUACCAGUCCUCCACUGCCAGUGCUUGGAAACAAGGUGCACAUCAGAGCCUGUUCCCAGAUUUGUUGUGGUACUGGUGGCCUCCUAUUCCAGGGCUCAUACAUGGUUGCAAUCAGCUGUACACUGAGAAAUAAUUUACUCCAGUAGCAUCCCUUUUUGGCAUGGUGGUCACAGAAGGUGAAGGUGUUUUUUGGACAACUGGAGAGAAACAUGAACAAGUACCAGCUUGAAGGUGAAAAGCAAUUCAUGUGCUUGGCACGGUGAGAUUUCCCAGAGGAGAGAUACUGCAGCAUGACAAAAACAAGAGUUUCAUGGAGGAUCCUUAAACUUUGGGGGAAACUACUGGCAAAAUGGGAAAGAAAGAAAAAAAAAAAAGGAAGAAAAGAGAACUCUUCUGGGUAGAAAACAAGAUUGAAAUUAUAUCUGUAGUAGGAAGACUGAUUUGGAAUUCACUACUUAGUGAUGGCUUCCUGUUCCCUGGCCUGUUUUGAGGCAGACUUUAUCUGCUGCUCUAAGCUUGCUCUGAGGAUGCCUACCCACUUUCAGGAGUCACAUGGUUCUGCCUGUCCUUCAGGCACAAAAUGGUGUUCAUGCUAUUCAGAGAUCAGACACUGCUGAAAUCCGAUGAAUUAAUAGUUUAAUUCGACCAAACAACCCUUCAAGGGGCUUUCAUUUCAUGGAGGAAUGUAUAUAAAGGGUUUGCUGCUUUUGAAAUAUUUGGUUUGUUUAAGAAAGAAGCACUUGCUUUUAAACACCCUUUGCUGUACUAGGUCACUACAUAGCUUUUCCAGUGGGUUCCUACCCUCUGCCCAGAAAUCAUGUGUCAAUUAAACCUUAAUUCUUUCAUCUCAUUUGUAUUGAGCAGUGCCCAGAGAAACAGUUAUUUUAUAUGAAGUCUUACUGCAAUUCAUUAUGGAUAUGCACAUUGGGUUUUUGUUUUCUUUAGAGCAAACUAAAAUAUUUUAAAUUAAUUUAGAUUUAAAUAUGCAUUUGCUUUUCAGACACAGAAGAAAAACACCUUUAAGGCAGCCUUCCAUUUAAAAAAAAGAUAAAUCGAUUUCGGGUGCAGUAUCUGUCUGAAACAUGGCUAAUUUUCAGUGCAAAGAAUGCUCAUAAAAAUGUCUAGGUAGGUUUAACUUGAAAAGUAGUGGUGCAAAGCAGUCUAAGAAUACACAUAAUUUAUGUCAUUGCUUUUCUACUUGCCAGAGAAGUAGCCAAGCACAUAAAGGGGGGAAUUUUGAUACAAAACAAAACAGAGUCAAGAACAUGGGCUUCUGAAAUACAGGCAGGAGAACACUUGCGACCUGUAAAGCCAUAGAUGCAGCUCACAAAAUUACCUUUCAGAGUAAUUCUGAAGACUGCUAUUGCAAAUUACAAACCACAGCUCAAUGUCCACCUCAAAAUCUGCCCUUAUUGAAGAAACUUUGAGAACAUGGACCAAGGAGGAACUCAGAGGGGUUCUUGAAAGCCAAAUAUUGAUUUUUCUAGUGUUCAGCAUGCCACGUGGAGAAAGGUAGAUGAGGAUUGCUGGGUGAAAGCACCAGUUUAUCUCUAAGCAAAAGAGAAAAAUGUGGAAACUCCACAAGUCAAAAGGAGUCAUGUGAGAUAAAAAAUACAUAACUUCAUUAUUUGCUCUGAAGUCUUUCAUAUGUAAUGUGUGCAUUCCCACCAGGUAAGGAAAGAUUUUGUCUUUCUGACAUUCAGUGAAAAUGGGCUGUACUUUAUAGUACGUAGUAGGUUACUAAUGGUUUAAGCAUGCAUUUUUUGAGUAGAGGAACAAAACUCCCCUGUCUCCGUUUUCCAGAUUUGUCUGACAGACUUACCGGAACUCUGACAUGUACAUGGCUAUCUCAGACAAACAUGGGACAUUUAUUUAAUUUGUCUGUGUGUGCUGCAAUCUCGUUUCACAGCUGCCAAGGUUAAUUCAAACUAAACAAGUCCUAACAAAUUCAGACAUGUGGCAGUGAUAACCUGUAAUAGUACAUAAAAAUGGAAAAUAAAGGGCUCAUUUUCCUAGAUUUUGGACAGCUAUUUUUUAUUUAAGUUGUAUUUUGUAUAAGUCCACUAUGAUCCUAGAGUUAAGCAUGAUCGAUCAUUAUGAAUUAUGUAUUAAUAGUGAUUAAUUACAAUGAUUAACUGCUGCUGCGCAAGUCAGUAACAACUAUAGUUGUCAUUGUUAUGUUAAUUUGCAACACUGAAAAAAUGAUGAUGAACUAAAUUGAUUUCAUUUACUUAAACAUAACCUAUACUCUGUUUUAAUUAAUGUAAAGUCUGUUCAAAUAGUUCUAUAAAUACCUUGCAGGCAAUCAUGCCAACCCCCAUGCUCUCCAUUCCUAUACUAUUGGUAGAGUUGAUUUAAAUCAAGGUCAAAACAUAUCUUUUUCAGAUAAUUUAUACAUAACAAUGCAUUAUCCUUCUUUUCUAUUGUUGAGUUGAAAAGGGAACACAGCUCAAUCCAAAAUACAUGAAGUGAUCCAGGGUCAGGAAUUACUUAUAUUUUCUGCCAUCACGCUCAACCCACAGAGAAUGCAAUGAUUCCUUUAAAAUUUGCAUGCUACAGGAAAUGAACCAGUUACCAAAGCCUUGAAGUCCUGCUUUGGAAGAAUGUAUCCAUUUCUAUCACCUCUCUUUAAAAAGGAUCACCUCUCUUUAACCCUGCACAGGAAUGGAAAACUACCAAGGAAUCCAACUAGUCAUCAAAAUACAAGCAAAUCUGCCACAGUGAAAUAGAGUUAUCUGCAAAGCUACCUGAAUUCCAUGUUUUCCUUGUACCUUUUCAAACAUAUAUUGGAAAAAGUAUUACAGUAUGUAAACAGAUGUCUAUUUUAAUCUCUGAAUGACAGCAUUUUGCUGCAG